rnacentral:sRNA from 1 species
GCCAACCGGGUGUCUGCACUAAGUUCGGCAUCAAUAUGAUGACCUCCUGGGAGCAGGGGGCCACCAGGUUGCCUAAGGAUGAGUGAACUGGCCCAGAUCAGAAAGGGAGCAGGUCAGAACUCCCGCACCAACUGGUAGUGUGACUGUGCCUGGGC